rnacentral:rRNA from 1 species
UGGGGAAUUUUGGACAAUGGGGGCAACCCUGAUCCAGCCAUGCCGCGUGUGUGAAGAAGGCCUUCGGGUUGUAAAGCACUUUCGGACGGAACGAAAUCGCGCGGGUGAAUAAUCCGCGUGGAUGACGGUACCGUAGGAAGAAGCACCGGCUAACUACGUGCCAGCAGCCGCGGUAAUACGUAGGGUGCGAGCGUUAAUCGGAAUUACUGGGCGUAAAGCGUGCGCAGGCGGCGCCGCAAGUCAGGCGUGAAAUCCCCGAGCUUAACUUGGAAUGGCGCUGAAACUACGGUGCUGGAGUGUGGCAGAGGGAGGUGGAAUUCCACGUGUAGCGGUGAAAUGCGUUAGAGAUGUGGAGGAACACCGAUGGCGAAGGCAGCCUCCUGGGCCAACACUGACGCUCAUGCACGAAAGCGUGGGGAGCAAACA